GCGUAACGCGUAUGCAACCUCGCCCCCGACCGGGACAAAACAGCUGGAAACGGCUGCUAAUAUCCCAUGGCCAUGCGGAAGGGCAUCCUUCUUCAUGUAAAGAUUCAGUUGGUCGGGGAUGGGCAUGCGUAUUAUUAGGUAGUUGGCGGGUAACGGCCCACCAAGCCGACGAUGAUUAGGGGUCCUGAGAGGGUUAACCCCCACACUGGAACUGAGACACGGUCCAGACUCCUACGGGAGGCAGCAGUAGGGAAUAUUGGGCAAUGGGAGCAAUCCUGACCCAGCCAUGCCGCGUGAAAGGAAGACGGCCCUAUGGGUUGUAAACUUCUUUUGCCGCAGAGUAAACCCGGUCACGAGUGGUCGGUUGAGAGCAUGCGGCGAAUAAGUAUCGGCUAACUCCGUGCCAGCAGCUGC
rnacentral:rRNA from 1 species